ACCAUAAUCACACUCCCAAACAGACACUAACUAUCUAUCCAUUGCUACACACUUUUGGCAUGUCACAGGUAAAUUGGUUAUAUUUUUUAAUAGUUCUUGCAAUUUGUUACUGCCUACCUCACCUUUUGUUUUUAUUUGUUAAAUCAUUGAUCAUAUUAGAUAUAUGACAAUGUUACUUUUUAAAAACUCUUUCUUUUUUAAGUCUUGAAACAAACCUUUUUGCAUGUACACUCGCAUCUCUAUGCCUUUCAUCUUUUUUUCUUUACGUUCCUGAUAUUUUUUUUGUGUAGUUCUUUUUAUGCCUUUUUUUCACAUUAUAAUUGUCUUUUAAUGCAAACUUAGUUGAUUCACAAUUUAAAAAGUUUCUCAUGGCAUCGCGCGGGUAGCAUAAAUUUUAUUCUAUUAUAUAUUAUGGGCCGAAUGGUUGUGGGUGUAAAUCUUAGGCCAUUAUAAAUUACAAAAUAAACUAAAACUUAUGGACAUUUUUUACAAGAAUCUAAAGUGUCAUCUUCUUCUUAAAAAAAUCGAUCAUCAAACUUUUUUCUCUUCAACUCGAUCCUUUUGUGGUCAAAUUGAAAGCCAGUUGCUUCUAAUUUUUUAAGCAAGGGUAAAGCUGAAAGACAAGAUACCAAACUAAAAAACAAUAGAGAAACAAAGUGGUCGCUUCAAAAUUAACCCAUAAAGUUGACCUUAAUCCUCUAACUUCACAACUUACCCAUUUUCAGUUCAUUUAGUUUUUCAAAAAUUCUCAUUUUAUUAAAAACUUCAUUUCUCUUUUUUUUUUCAAUCUCUAUUUUGAGCUACGAGUGAGAAAGUUAUUAGAUUUUGAUCGUAGAGAGAGAAAAUUGGUUAACACCGAUUCAAACUACUAAAGUUGUCGAUCUUGGUGUAAAUAGAUUAUAUUUGAUGAGAAAAGUUCUAAUAGAGUUCUACUUCAUCUUCAAAUUGCUUGAGAGAGUAGAUCUACCAUAAAAAAGGUUUUGAGUUUCAAAUUGAUUUUUUUCAUCUUUGGACCUUUUUAGGUUAUUUAAAGGCAUAAAUGGGUUUAUUUAGGUUUUUAGGGUGUUGCAUACGUGAAAAAUGGUUUAAAAAAUAAUUUUUAAGUGAAACACAUCCUUGCUCGAACUUUCCAAUAACCCUUUGCCCCUUAAAAAAUAAUAGUAUUGAAGGCCCAAACAUGUGGGCCUAACUUGGUAGGCCUGUACACCUAAGCUUUUUUUAUUAAGGCUUAGACGUGCAUGCUAGGCCACCUAGGCAUGCACGUCUAAGCCCUUUUUUAUACUUUGUUUUUUUCUUGAUUUAAUUUCACUUUUCAAUGUUGGUUAUUUAUUUAUUUAUUUUGUUUUGCUUUUUAUGAAGUUAAAAUAGUCUCAUAUAAAUGUCAUGCUAUUUUAUUAGGGCUUGGUUUUAUGAAUAUUUAUUUUUGUUGUUGUUUUUGCUAGUUGUCCAACUGCCUUUGGACUUACCAAGUGAAUUAAAUCACAUCGGGUUAAUCCUCGUUUAGUUUAAAUAUUUUUCUAUUAAAAAAUACGUUAGCAACGUCUAUCCAUUUUUUGAACUAAAAAAAAUGAUUUGGCAUGUGCUAUGCUACCGGGACAACAAUCUAAACACCACUGGAGUCUAACAACAAGGUUAAUAUGCUUAUAUAUGCUAUCUCCAACUAAAACUAAAGGGUGUGGGAAAAACACUGUUCCCCCGUACCCAUAAAACAUUAUGGAUUAUAAUAGUAAUCCAAAGUGUUUUGUAGUUUUUUUUUAGUGUUUUGGCCCUUUUCUUGUUAUUGAUUUUUUUUAUUUUUAAUUUAGUCCUUAUAUUUUAUGUUUAUUAGGAUUUAAAGUUGAUAAUUUAUUUUAAUUUAGCUUUUAUUUAGUUAUCACAGUAUUGAAAAAUAUCCCAGCAUUAAGCUGGUACUCAAUUUUGUAAGAUAUUAUUUGAAUUCUUUAUUUUUCUAAAUAUUAAGAGUCAAGUAACUAGAAUUGAAGAAUAGGAAAACGUUGAGAUCUGAAAGGGAGAAAUGAAUAAUUUAGUCAUGCAAACUGAGGCAAUGAGAAAGAAAAAAGAGAAAGAGAAAGAAAAGAAAAAUAGGUUGUCGAAGCCAUACAUGAUUUCCUAUUGCCACAUGCACCACCUUAUAGGGAAGAGGACAUCUCAACGAUUUCAACGUCAUCAAAGACACCACCAAUUAAAGCACAAAGGACAACCUAAACGCUGCCUAAAGGUCCCUUCCAUUCUUGUCAGGAGUAGAAUUUAGGUUCCUUCUCCCUUUUUGUAUAAGUUAGGAACUUGGGGAUUUUUCAUGUAAUUUUAUUAUGCAGUAAACAUGUAACCUGAAUAGAAUAAUAUACUCCUUAUAUUAUUUUGUUUUUGGAAUAUUAAUGUAUUAAUCUAUGCUUGGGAAA